UUCUGUUCGAGUUUAUUUUUAGUUCUACUCAGGUCUCAGACAUGUAAUUUCCCGUAGCCAUCUCCCAGACUUCGGGGUCGACGAUGGACAUUCAAUUUUCAAUCACCAACAUGAACACGAGUGAUAUUCAGGAGCAGAGUGGUGAACAGCUGCUGAGGGAUCAGCUUGUUGUUGAGAUUGAACGUAUGUAUUCGGACUACAACAAAUUAAAAGCUGCAACAGUUACGAGUUUACGGUCGUAUAGUUGGUUCCUGUUGAUAAGAAUACCGUGGCGUUGGGGAUGCUGGACGAACCACCUU